UCCAUUAUGGUGUAGUGGCUAGCAUCCGUCGCUUUCAUCGGUCAUAAGAUCGAAAUAACCGACGAGACCGGGGUUCGAUUCCCCGUAAUGGAA